rnacentral:rRNA from 1 species
UACGAAGGGGGCAAGCGUUGUUCGGAAUUACUGGGCGUAAAGGGCGCGUAGGCGGCCGAUCAAGUCAGGCGUGAAAUUCCCGGGCUCAACCUGGGGGCUGCGCUUGAUACUGAUUGGCUUGAAUGCUGGAGAGGAUAGUGGAAUUCCCAGUGUAGAGGUGAAAUUCGUAGAUAUUGGGAAGAACACCGGUGGCGAAGGCGGCCUGCUGGGCAGUAGCUGACGCUGAGGCGCGACAGCGUGGGGAGCAAACAGG